rnacentral:rRNA from 1 species
CCUACGGGGGGCAGCAGUGAGGAAUAUUGGUCAAUGGGCGGGAGCCUGAACCAGCCAAGCCGCGUGAGGGAAGAAGGUACAGCGUAUCGUAAACCUCUUUUGUCAGGGAACAAAGGCGGGGACUAGUCCCCGGAUGAGGGUACCUGAAGAAAAAGCAUCGGCUAACUCCGUGCCAGCAGCCGCGGUAAUACGUAUGGUGCAAGCGUUAUCCGGAUUUACUGGGUGUAAAGGGAGCGCAGGCGGCACGGCAAGCCUGAUGUGAAAGCCCGCGGCCCAACCGCGGGACUGCAUUGGGAACUACCGGGCUGGAGUGCCGGAGAGGUAGGCGGAAUUCCUAGUGUAGCGGUGAAAUGCGUAGAUAUUAGGAGGAACACCAGUGGCGAAGGCGGCCUACUGGACGGUGACUGACGCUGAGGCUCGAAAGCGUGGGGAGCAAACAGGAUUAGAUACCCCAGUAGUC